GGGAGAGUGGCUGAGUGGUCAAAAGCGGCCCCCUAACAAAGGGCUGACCGUGUGUAUGCGCGGGUUCGAAUCCCGCCUCUCCCACCA
rnacentral:tRNA from 1 species